rnacentral:rRNA from 1 species
GAUGAACGCUAGCGGCAGGCUUAAUACAUGCAAGUCGAGGGGCAGCGCAGUGUAGCAAUACAUGGGCGGCGACCGGCAAACGGGUGCGGAACACGUACGCAACCUUCCUUUAAGUGGGGGAUAGCCCAGGGAAACUUGGAUUAAUACCCCGUAAUAUUAUGAAGUGGCAUCACUUUAUACUUAUAGCUCCGGCGCUUAAAGAUGGGCGUGCGACUGAUUAGGUAGUUGGCGGGGUAACGGCCCACCAAGCCUGCGAUCAGUAACUGGUGUGGGAGCACGAGCAGUGACACGGGCAAUGAGACACGGGCCCGGCUCCUACGGGAGGAAGCAGUAAGGAAUAUUGGUCAAUGGACGCAAGUAUGAACCAGCCAUGCCGCGUGGAGGAUGAAGGUCCUCUGGAUUGUAAACUUCUUUUAUUUGGGAAGAAACCCACUGUUUCUACGGUGGUUGACGGUACCAGAUGAAUAAGCACCGGCUAACUCCGUGCCAGCAGCCGCGGUAA